GUUCAGUCUUAGAGCACCAGCUGGUGAGCAAUGCAAGGAGCAGUCGUGUAACCAACUUACAUCGUCUUCAACAUGAAGAUAGCUGCAGUGCCAAUGCUUCUGACCCUGGCUCUUUGCCUCAUACAAGAUGCUGCCAGUGAAGGUGAAAAUCAGGAAACAUGCAGUGAAUAUAGGGCACUGAUGAAAAAUGGAAAACUGUUCUGUUCCCGAGAUACAAACCUUUUUCAAAGCUCUGAUGGAAUAGUGUUCAUCAACAAAUGUGCCACAUGCAAAAUGAUAUUAGAAAAAGAAGCAAAAUCCCAGAGAAGGGCCAGGCAUUUAGCAAGAGCCAGGGCUACUGCCCCAGCAAAGUUGAAUUGCAGUGAUUUCAAGAAAGGAGAAAGGGAUGAGGAUUUUAUCUGUACCCUUGAUAAUGCAGCUGUUUGUGGCACAGAUGGGAAAACAUACAGUAACAGAUGUACACUAUGCGCUGAGAACGCUAAAACCAGAUGUCAAGUUGGCAUAAAAAGUGAAGGAGAAUGUAAGAACAGUAAUCCAGAGCAGGAUAUAUGUAGUGAUUUUCGGCCUUAUGUGAAGGAUGGAAGACUUGGAUGCACAAGGGAAAAUGGACCAGUUCUUGGUCUUGAUGGAAGGACACAUGUCAAUAAGUGUGUGAUGUGUGCUGAGCUAUUCUUAAAAGAAGCUGAAGAAAAUGCCAAGCGAGAAGGUAAAACCAGAAUUCGACGAACUGCUGAAAAGGAUUUCUGCAAGGAAUAUGAAAACCAAGUGAGGAAUGGAAGACUUCCUUGUACACGGGAGAGUGAGCCAGUCCGUGGCCCUGAUGGCAGGAUGCAUGGCAACAAAUGUGCCCUGUGUGCUGAAAUUUUCAAACAGCAUUUUUCAGAAGAAAAAAAUAAAGCAGAUGAACGCCUGAGAAAGGCUAAAGAAAAAGUUAAAAGAGAAACUGAGAAACUCUGCAGUGAGUAUCAGGAUCAUGCAAUGAAUGGAAUCCCUUUCUGUACCAAAGAAAAUUACCCUGUUCGUGGCCCAGAUGGGAAAAUGCAUGGCAACUUGUGUUCCAUGUGUCGAGACUUCUACCAAGCAAAAGCUGAAGAAAAGAAAAAGGCUGAAGCAAAAGCAAGAAGUAAAAGAGAACCUGGAAAAGCAGACUCAUAUGCACUGUGCAGACCAUACCUCAAGUUUAUGAGAAAUGGAAAACUCCUCUGCACCAAAGAGAGUGACCCCACCAAGGGCCCAGAUGGGAAAAUGUAUGACAGCCCCUGCUCCAUGUGUGCGACUAUGAUCCAAGCAGAAAAAAAAGAAAAGAGGGAAGAUGAAUCAAAAAGUAAAAGGCAAUCUAAGAAUACAUCUUCCUUUGAGGAGUUGUGCAGGGAAUACCGCAAAUCCAUGAAUAAUGGACAUCUUCUUUGCACUAGAGAGAACGACCCCAUCCAGGGCCCAGAUGGGAAGGUGCAUGUCAACCUCUGCUUCAUGUGUGAGGCUUUCUUUCAACAAGAAGAAAGAGCAAGAGCAAAGGCUAAAACUGCAAAGCAGCUGUGCCGUGAAUACCGUAACUAUGUGAGGAACGGAAGUCUUCCCUGCACCACAGAGAAUGACCCCAUCGAGGGCCCAGAUGGGAAAAUCCAUGGCAACACCUGCUUCAUGUGUGCGGCCUUCUUCCAGCAAGAAGCAAAAGAAAAAGAAGCUGAAUCCAAAAGACCUAAGAGAGGAGCUGAAAAGGAUACAUGCAGUGAAUUUCGGAGCCUUCUGAAAAAUGGAAGUCUUUUCUGCACUCGAGAAAAUGAUCCUGUGCGUGGCCCAGAUGGCAAGACCCAUGGCAACAAGUGCGCCAUGUGCAAAGAAGUCCUCCAGAAAGAAGAUGAAGAAAGAAAGAGAAAAGAAAAGGAGAGAAAAGAAAAGGAAGGUCAGAGAAAAGCUGCACGGAAUGGUUGCAAACGUGGCAGAAGAGGGAAAGCUCAGGACCAAUGUGCUGAGUAUCGGAAACAAAUGAAAAAUGGAGCACUUAGCUGUACUCGGGAGAUUGAUCCUGUACGCAAUGAAAAUGGCAAAUCAUACAACAAUAAGUGUGCCAUGUGUAAAGAGAAACUGCAAAGAGAAGCAGAGGAAAAAAAAAAGAAUUCUCGGAAGAGAUCAAAUGGGAAUGAAUCAGCAUUAGGAAAGGAUGUAUGUGAUCAGUUUAGAAGUCAAAUGGAAAAUGGACAACUUACUUGCACCCAAGAAAGUGACCCUGUCCAGGGUCCAGAUGGCAGGACACAUGGCAACACGUGUGCUAUGUGUAAGGAAAAACUGGAAAGGGAAGCAGCCAAAACAAAAACGAAAGAGCAGGACUGCAUGAGAAACACAGUUGAAAAGAACAAUGGAAAAGAGAACUCUGAGAUGUGCAAACACUACCGAGUAUUACCCAGGAUGGGUUACCUUUGUCCAAAGGAUUUACAGCCUGUCUGUGGUGAUGAUGGCCAGACAUACGGCAAUCCUUGCAGGCUCUGUCAUGAAAAUCUAAUACGCCAAACUAAUACACGCAUACGCAGUGAAGGAAGGUGUGAGGAGAAGAGCAACCCAGAAACAACACCUCUCAGCAUGCCAGCAUCUAAGAUUCUCUAAGAGAGUCUGGAAUCUCAAGAAUGAAUAAAAGGCCUGGCAGUCACAACUUUCCUGGAAAAAUAGACUGAAAAUCCUACUUUUACUUCCUAUUCUACGAGGUCAAAUGAUGAAAGAGUUGGUGAAAGCCAUGAGGGAAAAUGUGUAUUCCAAUUCUGAAUUGCCUACCUUCACCAUCUGUAUAUACAAAGAAUUCUUCAGAGCUCGUCUUAUUUACUAUAGAAGACAAUACAGAACUGUUGGGGGAAUGGACUCACUGACUUUCAGUCUUUUCCAUCUCUUUCCUCCUAGAUUCUGUGAUCUGAGGGCACAGAGACAUCUUCACCCAGUCUGUGCUGUGGAAACCUCCUGAUCACAAUGCUGUCUGUCCAACUGCUUGUUCAAUAAAAGUAAACCCCGCAGAACGCCAUUUCUGGGA